AGCGCACUCCUACGGGGGCAGCAGUGGGGAAUCUUGCGCAAUGGGCGAAAGCCUGACGCAGCGACGCCGCGUGCGGGAUGACGGCCUUCGGGUUGUAAACCGCUUUCAGCAGGGACGAGGCCGCAAGGUGACGGUACCUGCAGAAGAAGCCCCGGCUAACUACGUGCC
rnacentral:rRNA from 1 species